rnacentral:rRNA from 1 species
CAGCCGCCGCGGGAAUACGAAGGGGGCUAGCGUUGUUCGGAUUUACUGGGCGUAAAGCGCACGUAGGCGGAUCGAUCAGUCAGGGGUGAAAUCCCAGAGCUCAACUCUGGAACUGCCUUUGAUACUGUCGAUCUGGAGUAUGGAAGAGGUGAGUGGAAUUCCGAGUGUAGAGGUGAAAUUCGUAGAUAUUCGGAGGAACACCAGUGGCGAAGGCGGCUCACUGGUCCAUUACUGACGCUGAGGUGCGAAAGCGUGGGGAGCAAACAGGAUUAGAUACCCGGGUAGUCCCUGUCUCUUAUAC